CCUACGGGAGACAGCAGUGGGGAAUAUUGCGCAAUGGGCGAAAGCCUGACGCAGCGACGCAGCGUGAGGGAUGAAGGUCUUCGGAUCGUAAACCUGUGUCAGCAGGGAAGUACGGUCACUGUGCUAAUCAGCAGUGAAUUGACGGUACCUGCAAAGGAAGCACCGGCUAACUCCGUGCCAGCAGCCGCGGUAAUACGGAGGGUGCGAGCGUUAAUCGGAAUUAGUGGGCGUAAAGCGCUCGUAGGCGGUAUGUAAAGUCAAGGGUGAAAUCCCCGCGCUCAACGUGGGAACUGCCUUUGAAACUGGCAAACUGGAGUGUGUGAGAGGAUAGUGGAAUUCAAGGUGUAGGAGUGAAAUCCGUAGAUAUCUGGAGGAACAUCAGUGGCGAAGGCGACUAUCUGGCACAUAACUGACGCUGAGGAGCGAAAGCGUGGGUAGCAAACAGGAUUAGAUACCCCGGUAGUC
rnacentral:rRNA from 1 species